UGCGAGUCAUGGGGCGCGCUCUGCGCGCACCGGCGGUCGGCUCAGUAACACGUCGGUAACCUACCCUCGGGAGGGGGAUAACCCCGGGAAACUGGGGCUAAUCCCCCAUAGGCCUGAGGUACUGGAAGGUCCUCAGGCCGAAAGGGGCAUCUGCCCGCCCGAGGAUGGGCCGGCGGCCGAUUAGGUAGUUGGUGGGGUAACGGCCCACCAAGCCGAAGAUCGGUACGGGCCAUGAGAGUGGGAGCCCGGAGAUGGACACUGAGACACGGGUCCAGGCCCUACGGGGCGCAGCAGGCGCGAAACCUCCGCAAUGCGGGAAACCGCGACGGGGGGACCCCCAGUGCCGUGGCAUCGCCACGGCUUUUCCGGAGUGUAAAGAGCUCCGGGAAUAAGGGCUGGGCAAGGCCGGUGGCAGCCGCCGCGGUAAUACCGGCGGCCCGAGUGGUGGCCGCUAUUAUUGGGCCUAAAGCGUCCGUAGCCGGGCCCGUAAGUCCCUGGCGAAAUCCCACGGCUCAACCGUGGGGCUUGCUGGGGAUACUGCGGGCCUUGGGACCGGGAGAGGCGGAGGGUACUCCUGGGGUAGGGGUGAAAUCCUAUAAUCCCAGGAGGACCGCCAGUGGCGAAGGCGCUCCGCUGGAACGGGUCCGACGGUGAGGGACGAAGGCCAGGGGAGCGAACCGGAUUAGAUACCCGGGUAGUCCUGGCUGUAAAGGAUGCGGGCUAGGUGUCGGGCGAGCUUCGAGCUCGCCCGGUGCCGAAGGGAAGCCGUUAAGCCCGCCGCCUGGGGAGUACGGCCGCAAGGCUGAAACUUAAAGGAAUUGGCGGGGAGCA
rnacentral:rRNA from 1 species